ACGGAGGGAGCUAGCGUUGUUCGGAAUUACUGGGCGUAAAGCGCGCGUAGGCGGUCUAUAAAGUUGGGGGUGAAAUCCCGGAGCUCAACUCCGGAACUGCCUCCAAAACUGCUAGACUCGAGUUCGGAAGAGGUAAGUAGAAUUCCCAGUGUAGAGGUGAAAUUCGUAGAUAUUGGGAAGAAUACCGAGGCGGAGGAGGCUGACUUGACCGUGCCGAG
rnacentral:rRNA from 1 species